rnacentral:misc_RNA from 1 species
GGGAAGAAGAAAAGGGGGGAAAGAAAAGGGAAAGAGAAGAGGAGAGUAUGCCUGUUUGAGGGUCAGCCUAUAAAAAAUCGACAUCGUUGCUGUUUCGCGGUGACGUGCGUCGGAAAUUGGGUCAUCUUAAAUCCUUUUGGUUUUAAGCGACUUAAAAAUUUCUUUUUGGUUCCAUGAACGUUUCUAAGAUUUAUUUCUUUACACGUUUAUGUUAUAGAUUAUUAUUAGACGUGACCAUCCGAGACGAUCGCGUC